GAUCCACCUAAUUUUACCUCAUGAGUACAAUUUUAUAUAAUUCUUAUAACCUUUAGCUACUCACUUUAGAAAAUUUAUAAGGAAUUCCAUAAGUUGCUAUUUUAAAAAGAUACCAGAGGAAAAGAUCCUGUUGAAUUUUCCUAUGAAAAAUUUCCUGCAGUUAAUUAACAACAUUCUACUACUGCUUGAAAUAAGAAGUUGACAUUGUUUACAUAAGUGAGCCUUUUAUACCGUUUACUUUUUCAGUUCUCAUCUUUUUGGGUUAAGACUUCAAACACAUCUGAUUUUACCUUUUUAUCUAGAUCUUUUAUUUCAAGUCUUUGGCAUUUUGUUGAAGCAGAUAACUUUGAUUUGCAAAGAUAGCUGAACCAGUUAUGCUAUUUUCAUGGAAAUGACAGGACCCAAUAGAUGGCUUUGUACUCUCCUGUCUCGAGGAUGAAGUACUAAUGCUGUGACUCAGUUACUGGUGUGCCAACCAGGCAUCAGUUAUGUGGUGUUAUGACAGGUUUGUUAAUGGUUCCCAAUGUGAGUGUCAAAGAAAAAAAUUGUAAAUAGCCUCAGGUUAGCACUUCAAAAAUACGGAUUAAAAAAAAGAAGGAUUAAAUUUCCAUACUCCCAUCUAAAGUUUAAAAGAGAGAAUGCAGCUUAGUUUAUUCAGUACUUAUUUUUUCUGUUCUAGUCUAGUGGGAAGGCUUUAUUUUACUUCAAUCUUCCUGAAAUACAGCUUUUAACGCAAAUUUUGUUUUGUCCAAAAUGAUUUUAAGUUUAUUUUACAAAUACAGAUUUUAUUCUGAUAAUCAGUUGAAGUUUCAGAUAAAAGAAAAAUGGUUGUAGCUUAACCUAGGUAUGGUAAAAAUAAUAUAUAUUUUGGAAAUGAGUAACCAAAGGGGAACCUAUACAGUCUCCCAACUCCUAUAAACUUUCAUAGAUUUUUGCGGCAAUAGUCCACUAAAUCAGGCACCCCCCCCCUUGCUAAGUAUCUUUAAAGGGUACAAUUUUUUUUUAUCUUAUAAACUUUAUUGCUUAAAAAAAAUAGGGCCAGAUAGGUAGAUCUCUAUGAGUUCCAGACCAACCAAGGCUACAUAAUAAGAAUCCAUCUCAAAACAACAAAACAAAACAAACAAAAAAACCCACUACACUAUAAAGAAAAUAAAACUUGCAAAUAAAUAAAAAUAUCACAGAUGCCAAUUCUUUUUUUUUUUUUAAUUAGGUAUUUUCCUCGUUUACAUUUUCAGUGCUAUCCCAAAGGUCCCCCAUACCCACCCCCCCAAUCCCCUACCCACCCACUCCCCUAAAGGGUACAAUUUAAAAUAAAAAUUCUUUUAAAAAGAAACUAUGUAUUAUAGUUUUGUAAUGGAGGAGCUAGAGAAAGUACCCAAGGAGCUAAAGGGGUCUGCAACCCUGUAGGUGGAACUAACCAGUACCCCCUGGAGCUUGUGUUUCUAGCUGCAUAUGUAGCAGAAGAUGGCCUAUUCGGCCAUCAGUUGAAAGAGAGGUCCAUUGGUCGUGCAAACUUUAUAUGCCUCAGUACAGGGGAACGCCAGGGCCAAGAAGUAGGAGUGGGUGGGUAGGGGAGUAGAGGGGGGAGCGGGGGGGGGACCUUUUGGGAUAGCACUGGAAAUGUAAAUAAAGAAAAUACCUAAUUUUAAAAAAAGGAAAAUAAAUAAAUAAAUAAAAUU
ensembl:sense_intronic